rnacentral:rRNA from 1 species
GUGCGCCUACGGGGGGCAGCAGUGAGGAAUAUUGGUCAAUGGGCGCGAGCCUGAACCAGCCAAGUAGCGUGAAGGAUGACUGCCCUACGGGUUGUAAACUUCUUUUAUAAAGGAAUAAAGUGAGGCACGUGUGCCUUUUUGUAUGUACUUUAUGAAUAAGGAUCGGCUAACUCCGUGCCAGCAGCCGCGGUAAUACGGAGGAUGCGAGCGUUAUCCGGAUUUAUUGGGUUUAAAGGGUGCGCAGGCGGGAGAUCAAGUCAGCGGUAAAAUGUCGGGGCUCAACCCCGGCCGGCCGGUGAAACUGG